AGAUUUGUUGACCGUUUAAAUUCCCAGACUCAAAUUUAAAUUCUCGUUUGGAAAAUAUACACGUUACAAAUUAUAUCCCAGUUGAGAAUUUCUCAAAUCUUCCUCCUUCUUCUUCGUCACUAUCAUUCUGUUCCUACUCAAUUCGUGGCCAUGCCUUCUAACAAGUCCUUGCCAUCAGUGGCAUCAAAUUCAAACUCUAGCCCAGCCCUAGAGGAAGUUCAGAAAUCAGCAACCCUAUCAGGAAGAGUUUUACCCGAAACCCAUUCUCUAUGCCCUCCCUAGUCGCAAACCCUACUAGUUCUAGAUCCGUUUUCCCCAACACUCCCGCCAACAGUCCUUCAGAUUUUCAGGUAAGGAACAGUGUUGCCGGCAGAGAAAGUGGGGGGUCUUUGCGGUACGUUGAUGACAAAGAAAAUGGGAAAGAUCAGACAUUGAAGCCCGGGUUGCUUGAAGGACUCAAAGAAUUUCAUGUCUCCGACCAUCUCUGCUUCCUGCAAGAUUAUUAUUUCUCCGAGGAAAAAAGUGCUGAUUGAGAGGAAUGGGCCAGUUCCAGAUUCUGUUCCAUCUGCAGAGGCCAAAAACAACGUUCGCAAGGUAACUUUUGCAGAACCCUUGGAAUGUGGUGGUGGCUUGCAAUCAGACCACCUUGAUCUAUAUUUGAUGGGGUUCCAAAUUUUGAGGAAUCACAUAGUAGCCGCUCUAGUUUGACAUCUGAGGAAGAACAUGAUCUGAAUGUUCUUUAGUUCCAAAUAAUGACACUGAUUUGUCAUUUGAGGCUGAACAUGAUCUGAAUGUUCCUUUGGUUCUAGAGGAUAAAAUUGAGACAGAACCUUCAUUUGAAACUGUUUUCCUCGAUCAUGAUUGUGUUAACCUUGACCCAACUUUCAAGCUUAGUCCUACCCCACCUCCAGCUUCAUCCACAGCAACCAUCUUAGCUCCUCUUGAUGCCGAUCCCUUGAUGCCACCUUACGAUCCUAAAACAAAAUAUCUCUUCCCUAGACCGCAGUUUCUUCAUUACAAACCUAGACCAAGGACGGAACUUUGCAGAGUAUCAUAUCUGGUAGCUUCUCUGAUAUCACAGAGGAUUCUCAGUCCGAAGAAGCUUCACAGAAGGAAGCAGAGGAGGUCUCUUCGGAUGAGGCGGUUAUGGAGGAAGAAAGCCAAGUUCUGAUGAACCAAGUCCUGCAGAGGGAACCAUUGAAGCCAACCCUAAGCGCCGCUUCUCUAUGAAAUCAUUGGCUUUGGUCUGAUUAUUCUCCUCUCAUUUGCUGUUUUCUCCAUCUCAGUCAUCAAUUCUCCGGUGGUUCAUCAUACAGUGUUUGAAGACACAUGAGGCUUAUGAAGCGUCUCAACUUUCAGAUUUUUGCAAGGGCCAACUUUGAUCAAUUCACCCAGUUUGCAAAAGCAAAAUUCGAUUGUUUAGCUCAGAGUCUCCAUAUCCGGUUUAUUAAGUCCUUAAAUAUCUGAGCUGAUAUCCAAAGUUAGAGGACUACAAAUUCAUAGUUUGGCCCAGUUGCAAGACUACAACUUGACCGUUGUGCCGGAUCAUGUUGUGGUUAAUCAGUACCAUGUAUUUCGUAGGGGCAAAAAUGAAGUUGUUGAUGCUGAAAUCAACAGUACUUCACAUUCAAGAAAGUGAAGUCAUCUCAUCCGCAACUAAGAGGGAACAGUAGAUCGUCGAUUGAAGAGCCAGGUCAGUAAACUUCUAUUGGGACUUCUAUUGAUUAUUGAUUCGACUAGUAGCAACAAACUUGUAUGAUGGGGCCCCAUGGAGACGCAGGAGAUGGAUGCAGGAGCCGCCAGCCGGAUCGACCAAUAAAUGAUAAGAGGGAUGGGCUCAUUCGACUAAUUAGUGAUCCCUGGUUGAUCGGAAAGAGAUGUCCCUAAAAUAUGAGGGGAUUGGUUGAUCGGAAAGCCCUCCAUCGUACAGCAGGAGUAGGACAUUCCAUAUAAUUCAGAUCCACUAGCUGUCACUCCUUGCCC